GUGCUCGAUUAGGCUGCACAUGUACUAAAAUUGGAAUGAACCAGAGAAGAUUAGCGUGGACCACGGCAAGGGUGACACGCAAAUUUGUAAAGUAUUCUAUAUUUAA
ensembl:snRNA U6 U6 spliceosomal RNA